rnacentral:lncRNA from 1 species
CCCAAUCAUAGGAUACAGCAACGAACGAACGAAUUAAAUUAAAUUUACGCAGCUGGACUGGAUUAACAGGUCGUCGGGGAAUGAACGAAUCAUCAUCCAUCCAUCAUCAGUCGAGGCGCAUCAUGCCCUUGUGGAAGUCGUCGACGCCGUCGGCGGCGACGCACUGCGUGAUGAGGCGCGCCCCCGGCUUGUGCGCCGACGGCCGGACCAGGAUGCACGUCGCGAUGUAGUCGAGAUUGGUGAGCGGGACCACGUGCACGGGGCACCCCCACCCGUAGUCCACCUCCUCGAACCCCAGCCGCGACCAGUCCGACACCAGCAGCGUCCGGUAGUCCGAC